AAUAUGGAAAAUAAUUGCAUGGAAGAUGGAGAAGGUGAAACAAGCCCUGGCUUGAACAUUUCAGAAGGUGAAAGCAACGAAAAGUCAUCACAAGCUAUGAAAGUAUGUUUUGGAGAAGCUGACAAAGAAGAGAAGAACUC